rnacentral:lncRNA from 1 species
CAAGUAAGCUUUCUGAAACAUCUCAGAGUAUCCACGACCAUUGAGGAACUCUCCUAAGGUUUCACUUCGAUCGAUGUCAGGGUUAGCCUCGAGCUCUUCGAUGUAUCUUAAAACGUCUUCUUUAAACUUAACGAUCUCUCUGAUCAUUUGCCAGAAAUAAGGGUUUAGAGCGUUCUUCUUCUGAGCAAAUAAGCCAGACACACCGUUGCGGCUUCCCCAUUCACAUCCUUUGCCAUUGUCAAGGCUUACUGCGAAAGACAUGUCUGAAAUCUCCAUGUCUACUCCAAGAUUCUCGAAGAACUCCAUCAUGUUUGGAUAUGUUACCUAUCAAAUAGAACAUAUGUAUGCUCAACAUCAAAAGUUCAAGCAAGGAAAAUCAUAUAUAAACAAACUUUCAUAUAAAAUGUUCAAAGAUUCAGAUUUGUUAACUUAUAUUAUAGUUUCAUAAAAUAUUGAGAUUAAUUUUGUCUGAUAUGAAUUAUGUGUGUAUCAUCACUAAUCAACUCUAACUUGUUUGUUAUCAGAUAUGGAGAAAAUUCCAACGUGAAAUUGCUAACAAUGGAUAAAGGUGUAUAUAGAAAAAAUGAAUGGUCACAAGAUGAUUAUGAGCUGUUCUAUCGUUUUCAUGACAUUUUUUUUUUAAAUCACAAUUGUUUUGUCUUAUAAGAACGACAAAAACAUCCUAUCAAUAAAAAUCCCUAGUUGGUCUUUAUUUGAAUACCAUGUAGGCCAGACCAUGGAAAACAGUUGUAUCGUUAUAAAAACGUUGGUGAAAUAUAAAUUUCCAGUUAGUAGAUUUGGACAGAUAUGUAAAUUAAAAGCACAAUAGUAAUGGUAAAAAGGAAAAAAAAAAGGUUUUAGAAAAAAUUGAUUAUAUAUUAAAAAAAUUCAAAUAAACACACAACACUGAUAUGGUCCAUCUUUGGCAGUGGGACACAUAAAGCAAAUGCCUCCAUUAUCAUCAGUCAUUUUUCACGAAAAUGGAAAAUUCCAGAGAUAUAUAUAUUUUUUUUGAACAAAAAAUCCAGAGAUAUAUAAUACCUUUCUAUAGUGAUUUAUUUCUAUAAAACAAAUAUAUUUGAUCAAAAAGAAUUAAGAAAUGAGCGAAAGGGAGAGGGAUACGUACACGAUUGAAGACCAUGAAUCCAAGGUCCAAGUCAACUCCAUCACAACGCACCGUUUUAGCAUGACCACCUAAUGACUCUUCUUUCUCGUACAAAACGAGUUCUUCGACUCCUUGAGUAGCAAGAACGUAGGCGCUUCCUAAUCCACUUAUUCCACUUCCUAUCACCGCCACUUUCAUUUUUCCUUUUUACAGAAAAAUAUAUUCAAUGAAACUUAUCAGCCUGCAUUGUAGAAAAAUAAGUUACAUUGACCUGAUACAACGGAUUAGAUUCUCAACGGAUAUGCGAAGACCAAGUUUUUCAUUAAAGAAAUUGCAAAAAAAAAAAAGAUAUAAAAGAAAUUAUAAAAUUCCCAUUUUCUUUUUAAGAAUAAGCAGACUCGAAUCUUUUAUUUAACAAAAAGGAGAAAUGUAUUUCCAUUCAAGAAGAUGAGUACAAUGGCAGACUCGAAUUUAUUAGUGACCCUUCUUCUUCUACUACUACCAUCACAUCUAAUAUUUGCAUUAAAGACGACAAACAACAAUGGUAGACUCAAAUCUAUAGUGACCUUUCUUCUUCUAUCCUCUCAUAACACCAACUUUUUUUAUUUCAUUCCGGAAUUUAUUCAUAUAUGUACAAGCAUAUGCAUGUGCAGAGACUGACCAAUCAAUAACUUUGUUUAAAGAAAGAGAAAUGUAGUUAGAAAUGUUACCUCUUCUUUUUUUUUUCAACUUGGAACACAAUGGAUUUCGAUCUGGAAAUGGAUAUUCAACAGUUCACUGAAUGAGUCUAGAGUAGAUACGAAGAUCUCCGGAUUUCUUGGAAUUGAGAAACUGAAAUUGUGUUUUUGUUAUUUUUUCACUUAAAAUGGGAUUAAACUGAAAAAAAACAACAACAACAGCUAGACUAAAAGUGAAGAGAGAAUAGAGUGAGAUUGAAGAAUUUUGGAGUAAGCAAAACUAUUGGCUGAUUUUGAGGGGAGCACUUGUGCCAAAGAGAUAAGCCAGCCACAGUUUGUUUUGUAUUCAUAUGGCAAUGGAUCGCCAUAUAUAUAUAUAUAGCCCACAAGUUAAAGCCAUGUUUGGCUAUUGACUUUCAAACACUCGACGUUUGGUUUAUGUAAUUAAUUAUCUCGUUUUCAGUAUUUUAAUUAGUUUUAAUUAAUAUAUUCCCUAUCUUUUAUUCAACGUACUCGGAUGCUUCUUGUUUCUUAUUUCCAAUUGGGCCUGAGAAUCUAUAUACAAUCUUGUUUCUGUUCUUACUUUCUUUAUUUACCACCAUUACUUUUUAAUGUGAUUCAAAAUCCUUUUCUUCGUCAACAUCACUCUAAUCUCAUUUGUUAGUUUGAGUCUGAUUAAUGAUAUUUUAUUUGGUUAAAAAGAGAAAAGACGUUGCAUUACAACUACCAAUAGUUUUUUUGAUCGGUGAUGAUUAAACAUGGACACAUUUUAUAACAUCCAGAGCUACGAUAUAUGUAAAGACUUAAAAAAACUAAUUUGAUAACUUAUGUUACUGGAGUUGACUUACAUUUUCAUCACACAUCUGUUCAACACUCCAAAGUUAAGCGUGUUUUGGCUGGAAUAAUGAAAUUAUGGGUGACCUACCGGAAAGUGAUUCGCGAUAGCGUGCGAGUGAUGUCAAAAUACAGGAAAAGGUCAUGUGGUGAUUGCAUGGUCAGUAAAAAAAUCUUUCGAGGUUUGGAAAAUUAACGCACCUCUUGUCGGAUGGGAUGGGGCCAACAUGCCGAGUGAGCGGACGUGGAAAGACUAUUAGUAUGCGGUCGGGGCGUUACAAGUGGUAUCAGAGCUAGAUUAGCCAUUCAGUUAUGACCCGAGAGGCGUCUUGAGACAUGUCAUGAGGUGCAGCGAGGACGUUGCGUUCUUUAAGAGGGGGUGAACUGUAACAUACGGAAAGACUUAAGAUAAUUGAUUUGAUCACCUAUGUCACCAAAGUGUACUUACUUUUUCCGGUACAUAUUCGUUUAGAACUCCAAAGUUAAACGUGCUUGAGUUAGAGUAGUGAAAUGAUGGGUACGUAUCGGGAAGUGAUUCGCGAUAGCAUGCGAGUGAGGCUAAAGCACAAGGAAAGGUCAUGUGGUGAUUACAGGAUCAGUAAACAAAUCUUUCAGGCCUUGGAAAAUAAAUGCCGCCCGUUAGCUGGGAUGGAACCCACAUGCCGAGUGAACAGGCGUGGGAGGUCCAUUAUCCAUAGGCGGCCGGGGCGUUACAUAUUUAUUCGAAACUACAAAACUGAACCGUGCCAAACCGAAUUUCAUAAAUAACCAAACAUAUAUUAUAUUUCUAUAAUAAAAAACAUAAAAUUUAACUGAAACUAAGCCGAAAACCAAAUGGAUACCCAAUUUUAAAAAUAAAAAUUAUAUACUUAAAAAUAUAACCUAUAUUUAGUUUCUAAUAGUAAAAUAUCAUAAAAGACUAUUUAUAAACCAAAAUACUCGAAAUAAAAAUUACGCAAAUAUCUUUUUAUCCAACAUAUUUUAAAAGUCCGAAUUACUCAAUUUUUAUCUGAAAUACCUGAUACUUAACUUGAAAAAUCCAAAGUAGCUGAUAUUUUUAUCCAAACUGAAACCUAACAGAAAAUCUAACAUCCAAUGAUGAUAUUAUAUUGGAAAUUGCCAAAAUACUACAUUCAUAAUACCACUUUUCAUGUUUAUAUUAACCACCUUUACACUUACUUUUAAAGAGGGAAAAAACAUUUAUAACUUUGGGGUUAACUAAUUUAGACUUAGGUUUAGAGUUAAGAGGUGCGGUAGGUUUUUGGAAUGUGAAAUUUAGGAUUCUAAUAAAUAUAAAUAAAUACUUAAAAAUAUAAAAUUAGUUUCCAAAUAAUUUUCGAUUUUUAAAAAGAAAUAAGUUCUUAUUUGAAAAAGUAUAAUUCGAAAACAUAAAAAAAAAAAUUAUUAUUUUUAUUUAAAUAAGUAUUUAUUAUAUAUAUAUAUAGAGAACACAAGUAUAAAUAUCUUUUGCCUCUUAAUGAAGAAGAUAUUUUUGAAAAUGUCUCUUUAGUGAUGGUCAACAUGAAAAAUGGUACCAACAAAAAAGUAAACUUGAAAAUUUCCCAUAUUAUAUUCCUUAGAAUAUUGCCAUAGUUCUGAAACACAAAAUCAUCAAAAUAGAUAAUAUCAUUCAAUUAUGUACAAAUAUAUGGCAUACUAAUAACUAAACACGCAUUUCGAGACUAAAUUUACAAAUUAGCAUGUGUAAUAUUAUAUGGAGUAAUUUUAUUUUUAAAUAAAUUAAAAUUUUAAAUGUCUAAAUCUGUCAUAUUCUUCUUUUUAAAAAAGUUACAUUUUGUUCCUAAAUAAUACAUGAUUUUUAUAGUAUUUUAUUAUAUAAUUUGAUAUAAUAAUAAAAGAUCCAACCGUCGGAUUACCAAACACUAAAGACAGCCGCCAUACCAGCCUGAAACACAAAUAUCAACAGAACUAUGAGUUACAUAUGCAAUAUCAAGUGAGAAUGACCAUUAAACUAAGUGGAAUUAGAUCAUUGCCUUUAGUCCAUCUUCAUGGAAGCCGUAACCUUGAUAUGCACCACAAAACCAUAUGUUACGUUUGCCUUGAAUCUUGUGAAGCUCCUGUGAGGCUGUCAAAGCUGCAACAGAAGGCACAGGAUGCCCAGUGGUCCAUUUGAGCAAUGUUUUCUUUGGAGUCUGAUCUGGGUUAAGUGUCACGAAGAACGGUUCACGGUCUUCCCCAAGGUUCUGCACCGUUACACAUCAUCAAGAUUUAGCUUAAAAGGCUCAUUGUGUUUUUGCAAAGGUGGCGUUAAUAAAGUAUGCAGACUUGUGGUUGUAUACCUGAAGUAUGUUGAGCCAGUAUGUUACACAUACUUUUUUUUCCGUGCUUCCCAAGAAAUUCCACGCGCUCCAUGCUGCUUGGUUCCGCGGCAUCAAGUCAGUGUCAUGAUGAAGAUAUAUAUCGCUGCAAUAAAGGAUGAAAAUUUAUGAAUCUCUUAAACUUUUUUAGAUCAAAGAAAACAAAUAAAUGUGCGAGAUAUAAACCUGUAAACGUAUCGGAAAGCGCCAAGAACCCUAGUUUCAUCAAAAGUGACUUGUUCACCAAGCAACCUCAGAGCAUCUGGAGCGUGCAUAGCCAAUAUGCACUUAUCAAAUACUUCUUCAGACCCGUCUCCACUUGUUACAGUGACACGACCAUCAUCAGAUGUCAAAACAGAUUUUAUGUCACAGCUUGUUCUGAUCUUGCAUCCUAGUCGCUCCAAUUCUGCCCUAACCUGAUAAGCAAGUACCAAGUCAGACUCAAAUGUAUAUGCACCUUACACUUAACACAGCUACACAUAUAUAAUUUGGUUUAGUUUGGAACCUUUGCAACAUAAGUCUGAGAACGUCCUGCAACACUUAGCCACUGUGGCCUCCCAAAGAUCUAACACACAAACGAAAAUAAGGUAAGAAGCACCAAGAAGAUUGUUUAAGGAGGAAGUGUGAGAAAAAAUUAAGAACCUGAAGUAGGUGGUGGUUGCAGCAAAACGAAAGAACAGAGUAAGCAGAGAAGCUUAAAACACCAUCUGAUGGACAUGACCAUAUCGAGCCACAUAUUGGAACCUACCCCCACAGAUAUAUAAUGUUACGUCUCGUCCAAGUAAACUUCAAACAUUCAUUGUAACGGAGCUAGUGAAUAAAACCCUCACCAAGUAAGCUUUCUGAAACAUUUCAGAGUAUCCACGAGCAUUGAGGAACUCUCCUAAGGUUUCACUUCGAUCGAUGUCAGGGUUAGCCUCGAGCUCUUCGAUGUAUCUUAAAACGUCUUCUUUAAACUUAACGAUCUCUCUGAUCAUUUGCCAGAAAUAAGGGUUUAGAGCGUUCUUCUUCUGAGCAAAUAAGCCAGACACACCGUUG